GACGAACGCUGGCGGCGUGCUUAACACAUGCAAGUCGAACGGAAAGGCCCUGCUUUUGUGGGGUGCUCGAGUGGCGAACGGGUGAGUAACACGUGAGUAACCUGCCCUUGACUUUGGGAUAACUUCAGGAAACUGGGGCUAAUACCGGAUAGGAGCUCCUGCUGCAUGGUGGGGGUUGGAAAGUUUCGGCGGUUGGGGAUGGACUCGCGGCUUAUCAGCUUGUUGGUGGGGUAGUGGCUUACCAAGGCUUUGACGGGUAGCCGGCCUGAGAGGGUGACCGGCCACAUUGGGACUGAGAUACGGACCAGACUCCUACGGGAGGCAGCAGUGGGGAAUAUUGCACAAUGGGCGGAAGCCUGAUGCAGCAGCGCCGCGUGCGGGAUGACGGCCUUCGGGUUGUAAACCGCUUUCGCCUGUGACGAAGCGUGAGUGACGGUAAUGGGUAAAGAAGCACCGGCUAACUACGUG
rnacentral:rRNA from 1 species